UGCACUUCACGUUCACGACUUCACUUCAGCUUGUAUCUACUAUCAAGAGUAGAUAAUCUACUCUUGCUACUAUCUAAUGGUCUAGUUCUCUGAAGAGUAAAGACUAAGAGGUGAAGGAGGGUUUCGUCCAGUCUAUUGCUCUCCAUGUACUGGUGUAGUAGUAGUUCUGGUGCCCAGUGGUAAGGGUUUGGCCAGCGAAUUUGGCUAAUGUUCUUGAUUUCUCGGCGUCUCUUGGAGCGCCCUCCUGUAUUAUCCUUGACGGAAGAAUUUUAAAAGUGACUUUAAAAUGUCCUACCUAUAUCUAUAGACCCUCUGUACUGUAUAAUGGUUCCAGUCUUCUCUCCGAGCUUCUUGUACCCAAACUACUAAACUGUACCAGCUGCUAGUAAUAAUUCAAACUAAAGUAAACUGGACUUCUUAUGGUGGUAUACAUGUUGUUAGCUGGGAAUCUUAAUGUAAUGUAAUUGUUUGUGAAAGAGGCAAAUUUGUUGAUAGAGUGACACUGGCUGGAUCCUUGGUUUAAUGAUAUUCCUCUCUUUCUAUCCUGUAUCUCGGAUUCUCGGUAGAGAUUGAGCUUGGUGGAAUAGAGAGUAGAGACUAGCUGUGGAUUUCAGAAGUGUAACUUACUACAUGCAUAAAGUAAAGCAAGAAAUUUCUCAUAGAGAAGCUUAAAGGAUAACAAAACCCAAAAAUUUUUAGCUGCAAUUUGUUUAUUAUGAAGUACUAUUACUUGCAAAAAUAUCAAAAUUGUCAAUAUGCUUGAAAAACUUGCAGAAUUGCAGCAAUCCGCCAUUUUGACAAAAAUACUUUGAGUAUUGGGCGUGGUCACGUGAUGACGCACAUGGGGAAACAUGUCUUAUAAAUCUACUUUUAUGAUCUAAAGUAGUGUCCUCUUUGAAUGGUUUAUCAUAUUAGCGACAUAAAGGAAGCGGAGCAGCAGCUUUAUCUUGUCUGGUGUCUUCUGUUGCUAUUUUAAGUACUUAGUCAGAAAUAUCUUUUACAAAACCUGUCAAAAUAUUUACUUUAGCAAGCAUACAUCUAUUUACUGUGACUGCUCUUUUCCUUUAUCUUUCACCUAUGUACAGUACUGCUCACGGGCAAGUUUACAGAGGUGCGCAUUUAUUAUCUCAUGGACAUGUCACACAUUGCGUGGUGCUCUUAACACUUGUCGCAGCACACGUCCAUCGAUCAAUCAAAUGUAUCACGUGUGGGCGUUGACUCUAGUGAGUCCACUUGUGUUAGAGCACUUGACCAUCAAGAACUAUAAAAGUGAACGGUUCAGUCUCAGUUUGGCCAUCGUAUUGCAAGUUUUCUGACACUAUGCCAAGAUUAUUUUUGGAAUUGAGGAGGCUGGUUGUCACACUACGCCAGAAUGGAAGCUCAGUCGAAGAUAUCUCUCGUCGGUUAUUAGAUGGUGGAGUAACUGUUAGCCGCACAUCUUUGUACAAGCUGCUAAAGAAGUACAAAGAGAAAGGAACUGUAGGAGAUCUAUGGAGAGCCACAGUAGUUCCUAAGCUAAGUGAAGAACACUUGGUAUUCAUUGACAAUGCUAUGGCAGAGAAUGAUGAGGCUAAUUCCACCAAGCUGUUAGAACUUUUGACAGAAAAGUGGCUGACCCUCAAAUUGUCAAAGCCAACCAUCAAAAGAGGGAGAAAGAAGCUAGGCUGGGUUGCAACAAGACCCAAAUACUGCCAGCUUGUAAGAGAUGCAAAUAAGGAGAAGAGAUUAGUAUGGUGUUUGGAACAAUUACGUAACAAAAAAUGAACAGUUUGACAAUGUUAUAUUUACAAACGAGUGCUCAGUACAACUUGACAAUGACAGUCGGAUAUGUUUUAGGAGAAUAAAGCAACUAAGAAAGUACAAACCACAACCCAAGCACCCCAUAAAAGUCCAUAUCUGGGGAGGAAUCAGCAAAUCUGGAGCUACAUCAAUUGUCAUCUUUACAGGAAUCAUGAUGUUGACAAGAUUCUGUAUGAUUAUAUAAAAUGGACUACAGUCAAACCUCUCUAAAACGAACCCCCAAUUAGCGGACAUCUCUCUAUAACGUACAGUUGCUCUUGUCCCGGCCAUAAGGCGAUUGGGUAGUAUAUAAAAGAACCUCUGUAUAAUUUGUUAGUGAAUAAUAAAUGCAAUUAGUGACAGUAUAGUAGUUCCCCCAUUAGUAAGACAAAAAAUAAAAGAAGAAAAAUAAGCAUAUACCAGGCAAUAAUAUCUUCGCUAUAUGCUCAUACGUACAUACAUAAAUUGAUAAAAAUAACUUUUACAUUACUGAAAGUAACACUGAUGUUAUAAUUACUUUCUUUACUGCUAUGCAUUGCACUUUUCUGUUAUUAUUAUGAUUAAUGAUUAUGCAGUGAUCAUGUUACUAUGUGUUUAUUAAACACAUUGAGGUUGUGUACUAGUUUGGGUAAUUAAAGUACAUGUAUUGUUACCUUUAUCAAGCAUUUUCAAAAAA